GGCGACGGUGUAAAAAUCUCGCC
rnacentral:misc_RNA from 1 species